GCUUUCAUAGUGAGGUGAUUCACAGGACGGAUACUCACGCUUACAAGCAGCAAAUAGUAUUAACACUAUUAUAGACAGUCUAAACCAUAAACCAUAGCGUGACAGGAGGUUAUUUCUGUGUUCUUCAUACUGGAGUUUACUCAGCAGCAGACACAUUCACAGAAACCAACAUAUGGUAUUGUUAUACACUGCAUAUUGUUAUUUGCUGUUUGUGAAUAACCUGGUGUUCUUUCAUAUUCAAAUAUGUAUUCGUUCGAACUUUAGUCUCAAUACUAAGUAACAGCGACAUAUAAUACAACAGUGUGAUGAUUCUGAGAAGGCGAGAUGUUAGAAUUGACAGUAUGUAAAGCGAUAUUAGGGUUUUAGUCGUGUGGUUUUGUUUGAAAUGCAUCUGGUCCCAAAGCAAUUAAAGAAAGGAAGUAGUUUUCCAUCAUCCAAUACCUCGAACGUCUGCCAACACGUUAUUGCUGGCUUCUAAAGGGAAUUUACAUUCAUUUGACAAAACAAAAAUAAUUUUGUGGUUCACUUGAGCAUAUGUAGUUUUUUUUUUUUUUUUUUUUUAAUGCAAGCGAUAAAAAUACAUGCAUUAAUAAUAUUAAGCAUAACUUAAAUGCUUUUGAGAUACUAACAUAUAAUGCACGAUUUCGUUGCUUUAAAUCUUAGCAUCCUGUACAUUAAUUUAAUUUAAUUUAAUUUAAUUUAAAUAUCACAUGCAUUUUAAUUAUUGUUAUUACAAGGGAAAGGGAAAUAAUAAUGCUUAAACGUUUAACUGUUUGGGUUAUAAAACUACAAAUCCCGUCACCCUCUGCUCCCACAUGUCAGGUGAGCCUGGUGAUUGUAGUGCGUAUUUAAACUGAGAAUGGCACAGUCUGUAGCAGAGCGCAGUUAUGAUAGAUGUUGAGGGAGGUUGCUGGAGCGCUGUACACGAACAGAUGCAUGAAACCGCUGUAAAAUAUCGACCGGAUGACGGACUCUGCUGUAUACACACGGAUAAAUUGGACAAUGGGAUGAUCUGCUGUAUAAAGCCGGGAUCCGAAAAGUUUGGACAUUUUUCAUUUGGGAUCUUAACAUUAUGGAUUUCAGCACUGGAUGUUCCGUAGUACCUGUGUGGUAACAUUGUUAGGCUACUACUGUAACCCCUUACUGGAAUUGUCUAGUCAUUACAUUUUUGUUUUAUUUCAAAUCAACAAUCGAUUUAAACAUUGCAAUGGAUGCGAUGUUUUUUUUCUUUCUUUUUUUUUUAAACGAUCACAACAGUGUGUAAAGGUUUUAAAUCUCAGCCAUGCGCUGGUUUACACAAUGUGUCGGCAAGAUACCUGCAUUUGUAACGUUUUCAUGGAUAUAACUUAACGAAUCCGUGGACCCUAUAAGUGGUUCACGCGUUCUAAUUACUAUAACAUAUGAUACGGUGCGGGAGGCACUGAAGAUGACCAGUAUUCACUGGAGUCAUGGGUAACCUCAGUUUCUACGGAUUACAGUCAGACUGUGGGAAUGAAUUUUCUUGAUAUCUGACUACAUUAUGUUGUUCAAUUUACUUGGGAUUAUUUUCAGGAAGUUGUCGCUGAUGCAGGUGUAUACCUGGGGUUCGAGAAUAUCCACGUGUGUUAAAUUUCACAAUAUACUUCACAUCUGUGGAUAGUCACGAUCAUGUAAUCUACGGUAUAUAAAAUAUACAUGAAAUGGAAUAAUACCUUAAUCACCAUGUGGAUUUAAAUGGACAAUCAAACGGAUUCACCUAUUAACAGGGUCAUCCUGUGCUUGGUUGCAAUAAGGUAGCAGAAGACUGAAAUGAGAACUGCUCGAAGUGACUCUGCAUACAGGAUUGGAGGGCUGGGCUGCAUUCACGCAUUGGCUUCAGAGGCGAAAGGUCAUCUCUAUCCUAUCUGCAAUCGGUAUCCAUGUUAUUAAAGAGAAAUUAAAUGGUCAUUAACCACAGGCCAUUUGCCAGCAGUGACUGUCCUUGGAUAACCGUAGUCCGAAGAAGUUGCAUGAUGGACAUUAAACAUAAGCCUUGCAUUGACUGGCCAUGAAUGACACUGGGUUGUCUCCGGGUCUUGUGCUGCCAAAGAAAUGGACAACAAUGACAAUGCAGGUCUGAUUACUUGUCUGUGGGAUGCCCUGUGCUUAUACCCGAUGAUGCAGCUUGAUUUGCGGGGAAGAAGACAGCAGGGCCUCCUGUUCUCUUGGCAAAAACGAGUCAGUCCAGAAGGUGUUUGAACAGGAGUCACACAAAAUGUUUAGAAUCCAGGGAGUUUCCAGACCUUGAUCAUUCAUUAACAUAUUGGGUCUUAUGCAGGGAAAAUCCCGUAUGAAAAAUGUAUUUAAUUGAAAUGCAAUAUACCGCAAGUGCAUUUGAUUACAUAUUAGAUAUGUGGUAGGACUUCAUUACCGAAUAACAGACAGCAACUGGGAUACAUAUAUGUAAAACUGAGGUUUUUUUUGUGUUAUUUUAUGUUCUCCAGAAUGGCCCAUAGACUCAUGAUUUUUGAGAGUGUUCCUCAAGAUUUUUGAUUUCAGAGACACUUGCCAACUCAAUAUCCAAGGAUCCAACAGGAUACCCAUCAAUUGCUGGAAAUAGUUAAUGAAGAAAAAAAGUAAUUGAGAUUGUUGAUUAUGCUUCGGAUACCACACCUUGAAAAUCGAGUGAUGCGAGCUAUUUCACUCAAUGUUUUUCCUUCUUUUAUGCAAGUCAAGGGUUGUUGUUUAAUGCCCAUUUUACCUCAUGGGGGGGAAAAAUAAAUAACAGAUACUCAAUCAUUCUAUACCAGUUUCAGGUGCACUGUACAGUAGUUCAGCCAACACAUAUUCAACAGUAACCCUGCCAAAGCAUACAGGAGCAAGGUGGUCAAUGUUCAGAGCCUAACCAGGAUCCUUUCGUUGUUGAACUAGACACCACCAAUGCCCUCUAGCUGUCAGGCUACAGUUCAGGAGUUGCUGAUAAACCCUGACAAAGUGUUUCAUCGAAACUGAUUGUCCUCCUCUUAUCUCUAGAAUAAACACAGUGGCUUCGUUUAUCCAGGACCUGGGGUCAACCGUGUUUGUACAUUUGUGGAAAAAAUGUGGUUUCACACACACGAACAAAAAGUGAAUAUGUUUAGAGAGACCGAUGUUUGCUAAGUGAAGGGAGAAGGUUUAGACUAGGUACUAUGUGUAUAUGGUUACAUAGAUGAAAUGAUGUGUCAGUAGCCGGAAAACUUGCAAUGUGAAAUACACCCCAUAAUCCUUAAUGACCUACAUGAGAUCUCAUCACCAGGUGCUGGAGGUAAUGUCUCUAUUCACCACAAGGAGAACAAGGGAAACUACUUUCUCUUGUUUACCUGUAGGUCUUUUAAAUGUGUAUUCUGUCAUCAAAAGUAACUGUGGAUAUGUAACUGCAGACCUCCAUAAUAAAAAUAAAGAAUAAUUUAACCA